rnacentral:rRNA from 1 species
GUGCCAGCCGCCGCGGUAAUACGUAGGGUGCAAGCGUUAAUCGGAAUUACUGGGCGUAAAGCGUGCGCAGGCGGUUAUAUAAGACAGAUGUGAAAUCCCCGGGCUCAACCUGGGAACUGCAUUUGUGACUGUAUAGCUAGAGUACGGUAGAGGGGGAUGGAAUUCCGCGUGUAGCAGUGAAAUGCGUAGAUAUGCGGAGGAACACCGAUGGCGAAGGCAAUCCCCUGGACCUGUACUGACGCUCAUGCACGAAAGCGUGGGGAGCAAACAGGAUUAGAUACCCGGGUAGUCC